GGGGCUAUAGCUCAGUUGGUAGAGCGCUUGGAUCGCACCCAAGAGGUCAGGAGUUCGAAUCUCCUUAGCUCCA
rnacentral:tRNA from 1 species